GAUGAACGCUGGCGGCGUGCCUAAUACAUGCAAGUCGAGCAAACAGACGAGGAGCUUGCUCCUCUGACGUUAGCGGCGGACGGGUGAGUAACACGUGGAUAACCUACCUAUAAGACUGGGAUAACUUCGGGAAACCGGAGCUAAUACCGGAUAAUAUAUUGAACCGCAUGGUUCAAUAGUGAAAGACGGUUUUGCUGUCACUUAUAGAUGGAUCCGCGCCGCAUUAGCUAGUUGGUAAGGUAACGGCUUACCAAGGCAUCGAUGCGUAGCCGACCUGAGAGGGUGAUCGGCCACACUGGAACUGAGACACGGUCCAGACUCCUACGGGAGGCAGCAGUAGGGAAUCUUCCGCAAUGGGCGAAAGCCUGACGGAGCAACGCCGCGUGAGUGAUGAAGGUCUUCGGAUCGUAAAACUCUGUUAUUAGGGAAGAACAAAUGUGUAAGUAACUAUGCACGUCUUGACGGUACCUAAUCAGAAAGCCACGGCUAACUACGUG
rnacentral:rRNA from 1 species